rfam:Cyanothece sp. PCC 8801, complete genome.
AUCGUUCAUCCGCCUAUCGGUCGGACGGAAGUAGGAAGUCAUUGAGAGCUUCUGAAGGAACGCGCC